rnacentral:rRNA from 1 species
GGGUCGGGGCUGGUGCUUAUACAUGCAAGUCGACGCUGAAGCCGACAGCUUGCUGUUGGUGGAUGAGUGGCGAACGGGUGAGUAACACGUGAGUAACCUGCCCCUGAUUUCGGGAUAAGCCUGGGAAACUGGGUCUAAUACCGGAUACGACCAAUCCUUGCAUGAGGGUUGGUGGAAAGUUUUUCGAUCGGGGAUGGGCUCGCGGCCUAUCAGCUUGUUGGUGGGGUAAUGGCCUACCAAGGCGACGACGGGUAGCCGGCCUGAGAGGGCGACCGGCCACACUGGGACUGAGACACGGCCCAGACUCCUACGGGAGGCAGCAGUGGGGAAUAUUGCACAAUGGGGGAAACCCUGAUGCAGCGACGCAGCGUGCGGGAUGACGGCCUUCGGGUUGUAAACCGCUUUCAGCAGGGAAGAAGCGAGAGUGACGGUACCUGCAGAAGAAGUACCGGCUAACUACGUGCCAGCAGCCGCGGUAAUACGUAGGGUACGAGCGUUGUCCGGAAUUAUUGGGCGUAAAGAGCUCGUAGGUGGUUGGUCACGUCUGCUGUGGAAACGCAACGCUUAACGUUGCGCGUGCAGUGGGUACGGGCUGACUAGAGUGCAGUAGGGGAGUCUGGAAUUCCUGGUGUAGCGGUGAAAUGCGCAGAUAUCAGGAGGAACACCGGUGGCGAAGGCGGGACUCUGGGCUGUAACUGACACUGAGGAGCGAAAGCAUGGGGAGCGAACAGGAUUAGAUACCCUGGUAGUCCAUGCCGUAGACGUUGGGCACUAGGUGUGGGGGACAUUCCACGUUCUCC